UCUUGAAGGAGUCUCCUCCUAUUCUGGAGGCUACAGCAUGAUGACAGAUUGGAUGUGGAGGCUGCUCUGAGGUGCUGAACAAUGUACAGAUUGGCUGAAGAUGUUUCAUAUGGAAGUUGCAAAUUGUAUGGACCAUUAUUGACAGUAUUAACCAUUUUACAUGAGGUCUUCAAGCAGUGUGUGAGCUGCAGCCUGUUAAAUUCCGAAUAUUAGCUCAGGAGAUCCUUCCUUGAAGAACUGAAACAUUUGGAAGAUGUGUCAGCUGCAGGAACUGGUAGUUUUGGUCUUAUGAGAAGGACUGUAACCAAGUUAAGAUGCCAAGAGGAUGGCAGUGGACGGAUAAACAGCAAGGAGAUAUGAAUAAUCAUUCCCUAUUCACUCCUCAGUCAUCUGUUUUCCAAGCUGAAGAAUCCCAGCUGCUGGAGAACUGCAAGGAAAAGUAAUAGAGGGACUAUCUAAAAAGCUGAAGACCCAUGCAAUUAUUCAGUGGCAGGGAGUUAACUUGCAUAAUUCUGAAAAAAAAUAAGGGGGGUGGGUAGGCAGUGAACUGCAAGCCAUGCACAAUUAUAAAUCUUCCAAAAAAAAGGUCACACUGGCAGAAGCCAAGAAGCCAAAUUGUGCCUGUAAAUUGGUGAAAUUUCAGAGAAGAGAAGCAAAAUGUACUUUUAAGAGGAAAGGAUAAAAGAGUGAUACAACUUUGUUUAAACAUUGCCUCUGGAAGAAGCAAACACAUGAGCUUGUUCAGAAACCUUAGAAGGAUAUAAACACAUAAACAAACUGGUCUCGGAAAAAUCUGAAAAAAAAUCAGAGAUCAUGUUGGGAAUAAAGAAAGUUUAUGUAACUGUGCAAUGAUCUGCAGUGGAAGCCUUUUACUCUAAUCUUGAAAGUGAAGUUUGAUUAUGUAUUAAAGAAAUAUACUGUAAAAAAUGCUCUUACAUUGAUAGAAGACAUGAUCUGACAAGAUUUUUGCCAUCUGAUUUCUACAGCUCUUUGAUUUUAAUUGAUAGAAUCCAUUUUAGUAGAAAAAACUCCCCAACCUUCAUACCACAACCAAAGUGAAACUCUGUGAAAAAAUAUUUGCAGCAGUAAUUUGUUUUAAAUCAAUUUUACUUUGUGCUAAUCAUGUAUAGCUUUUCUGUGUAAUUCCAGAACAACUUUAAACUCUACUGAGGGACAAAAAUAGAAUUCUGAAGAAUAAUUUCCAUACACCAGCACACACUAAUCUGCUGGCACCAGGAAAGAGCUGCUCCUGCUAAACAACUAAUAAAAUCUCUGUCUCUGUAAAAUGA